rnacentral:ribozyme from 1 species
CUACUCUAAAAGAGAAGGAGAAGGCAACAAGAAAUCGAGAAGAAAUUAAAUUUAAAAAAAAAAAAGCAGGUUGGGUUAUGAGAAGUAAAUGAAAGUAGAUUUAUGUAUAAGUUCUAGCUCAUAGGGCUAGUAUGAUGAUAUACGCGUCUGAUCAAUACCGGGCUCAAUUAAAACAGUAUACCAUACAAUAAGAUA